CUACAUCUCGAGUAGAUCAACGUGAUAUACUUGAAGUCUCAAAACCGAUUUCCGGUGAGUGAGAUAUUAUAUGUCAAAGUUUGGAUGUUGAAGAGGGAAAAUCAGUUUCAACUUCUGCGUUCAACGAUUGCGGCCACCUACCGCAGCCGCCGGAAUUGACUGUUUCAACUUCUGCGUUCAACGAUUGCGGCCACCUACCGCAGCCGCCGGAGUUGACUGCCGAUCCGUUCACACUCGGUUUAACACCUAUAAAUAUGGUUCGCCGGAGCUCGCCGGAUUGUGGUGCUACAUCCGCCGAGACGAAGUCGUUUUACCUUUGGGGAAGAUACGCCAAACCGAAGAGCACUACCGGGGCGAUAAUCUUCUUGCGGGAAGAGAUUCAUCUCGACUCGACUUAGUUUAUACGUAUAAUUUAUUUAUACAGUAUAUUUCAGUUGUAUACAAUUAUUUGAGUUGUAAUUUCUCAAAUUAUUUUCUUUGUAAUAUUUUCAAUUAUUUUGAGUUGUAAUAUCUCAAAAUAUUUAUUUUGUAAUA